UAAGAAGAGAGAAUGCCGGAAUGAGUAGCGAGAGGAAGGUGAGAAUCCUUCCGGCCGAAUAUCUAAGGUUUCCAGAGUAAAGCUGAUCUGCUCUGGGUAAGUCGGGGCCUAAGGCGAGGUCGAAAGACGUAGUCGAUGGAUAACAGGUAAAGAUUCCUGUACUAUAUCAUAACAGAACUGUGGGGACGCAGACAGAGAGCAUAAGCCGGGAAUGGAAAAACCGGUACAAGCGAGGUAGGAGUGCAUCAGGCAAAUCCGGUGCACAAUCUGAAGACGUGAUGUGGGGCGUAAAGCCGGAAGUAUGUGAGCUGGCUGCCAAGAAAAGCCGCUAUUGUUUAUGAUAUACCCGUACCGUAAACCGACACAGGUGGAUGAGGAGAGAAUCCUAAGGCCGACGGGAGAAGCAUUGUUAAGGAACUCGGCAAAAUGACUCCGUAACUUCGGGAGAAGGAGUGCCAUGUAAAAGUGGCCGCAGAGAAUUGGCCCAAGCAACUGUUUAGCAAAAACACAGGUCUAUGCAAAACCGAAAGGUGAGGUAUAUGGGCUGACGCCUGCCCGGUGCUGGAAGGUUAAGGGGAGAGGUUAGCCGUAAGGCGAAGCUUUGAACUUAAGCCCCAGUAAACGGCGGCCGUAACUAUAACGGUCCUAAGGUAGCGAAAUUCCUUGUCGGGUAAGUUCCGACCCGCACGAAAGGCGUAAUGAUUUGGGCACUGUCUCAACAAUGCACCCGGUGAAAUUGAAAUACCAGUGAAGAUGCUGGUUACCUGCGCCAGGACGGAAAGACCCCAUGGAGCUUUACUCCAGCUUGAUACUGGGAUUCGAUAUUGCAUGUACAGGAUAGGUGGGAGACUGAGAACUGAUGACGCCAGUUGUCAGGGAGUCACUGUUGGGAUACCACCCUUGUAGUAUUGGAUUUCUAACCAGCAGCCGUGAACCGGCUGGGGGACAAUGUCAGGUGGGGAGUUUGACUGGGGCGGUCGCCUCCGAAAGGGUAUCGGAGGCGCUCAAAGGUUCCCUCAGAAUGGUUGGAAACCAUUCGAAGAGUGCAAAGGCAGAAGGGAGCUUGACUGCGACACCGACGGGUGGAGCAGGUACGAAAGUAGGACUUAGUGAUCCGGUGGUAUAAAGUGGGAUUGCCAUCGCUCAACGGAUAAAAGCUACCCUGGGGAUAACAGGCUUAUCACUCCCAAGAGUUCACAUCGACGGAGUGGUUUGGCACCUCGAUGUCGGCUCAUCGCAUCCUGGGGCUGAAGUAGGUCCCAAGGGUUGGGCUGUUCGCCCAUUAAAGCGGUACGCGAGCUGGGUUCAGAACGUCGUGAGACAGUUCGGUCCCUAUCCGGCGUGGGCGUAGGAUAUUUGAGAGGAGCUGCCCUUAGUACGAGAGGACCGGGGUGGACUGGCCGCUGGUGGAUCUGUUGUAUUACCAAAUGCAUAGCAGAGUAGCCAAGCCGGGACGGGAUAAACGCUGAAGGCAUCUAAGCGUGAAGCCCCCCUCAAGAUGAGAUAUCCCAUAACGUCAAGUUAGUAAGACCCCUUGAAGACGACGAGGUAGAUAGGGCAGAGGUGGAAGUGCGGUAACGCAUGGAGCUGACUGUUACUAAUAGGUCGAGGGCAUAACCAAG
rnacentral:rRNA from 1 species